AGCAGGAAUGAAACAGUAGUGGGAAGGAUGACAGAGAUGUUAAUUUGAAAGAAAACAGUAAAACAUGAAGAGGUAUCAAAAGGUGUCCACAAACUAAAAGGUGGUUAAGAAGUUUGGACUGCAGGUUUUACCUGUGACACUGAAAUAAGAACAUUUUCCUGGGUGUCACUGAGCAGAAAGCUCUGAUUGCAUGAGAAUUUCCUGGAUUUUGGGCUGGCAAGUGCUACAGGAAAACUCAUCAAUUAAAAGAGAAAUAUUUCAGCAUGAUAGAAAAGAAGCCAACCACCCCAUUUUGUCAACAAUAGUCCCUCUGUAUUUUAUCCUGGAUAUAAAAAGCAGCAUCUUAUAAAUAAGGAUUAUAAAAUAAACAUGUCUGUCUUUUUUGGAGACAGGCUGUUUUAUUGGAAAGGAAUAUCACUGGAGGGGUAUUCAGAGACUGGGGUGCAUCUCCCUAUUUGGAAUUUCAGAUUUAUAUGUCACCACUUUGUUCUGCUAUCUUGUAAAUUAAUGGUCGCACACCACGUUAAAGAAAUGGAAUUAUAUUUAACCUGGCACACUAAUAACAACAAUUCUUUCUGCUAAGUUUCAAUAAAUAUCACUGUUGUGCCAUUGCAGAAGAUAAAAAUGCACAAUCUCCAGGAUAUUUGGGAACAGCUCCAGCUCCUGUUAAGGUCAGUGGAAGGAUUCCUGUUGACCCUGAUGAAUGCUGAUGACUGUAAAAUCAGAAUAGAUUAAUAUUACAAGUGCCACGACUGAUCUCAUAACCAGCAGUUUGAUCUGAUAACUGGGUCUGUGCAGCCACAAUCCUACACACAGAAUACACUUCCCAGUAGGAAAACUGACCCACCACAACAAGAAAGUGAUUAAAGACAGCCAAAGGUGGGCUCAAAUGCAGCUGGGAAGAAUUCUCAGGUGCCCCCAGCUUAAUUUUCUUGAUUUUGAAUCACAAACAGGUGAUCAUGAGAAGCUGGGAGGAGGUACCAGGGCCUGAAACACCCUGAAAUUGCCCCGUUUCUUGUACUCUUCUUAAACAUCUGUCACUGAACAUCAAAAAGAGGCUGUAGAUGCAUUUUGAUCUACCUGAUGUAGUUUAAGUCAGAGCCUUGAUUAUUCUGCAGUCAAAAAGGGAAAUAAAGGGUGUAAGUAUGGCAACUUUGAAACUCUUUCCCCUCAGAACAUGCCUCCCCAUGAAUCUGGAAUGCUCCAGCUACAAAACUACCUGCAGGCUUUGGGCUCGUGGUUGCAUCAGCCCCACACAAUAGCAUUAUUUUUAGUGGUGUCAGUCCUGAUUAACAAUGUCUGUUUUCAGAAUUCUGAUUUUCCAUUGUUGGACUUCUGCUGUGCACUUCACAGGGGCAAGAUUAGACCCUGAAGUAGGGGAAGGCUGAAAAGAAAUCCCGUUCUCUUUGUUGAUAUCUUUUGGGGGGUUUGGGGGGUUUUUUCCCCCUGGCAAAUGGUUGUUUCUUUCCAAAGUGAAUGAUAUGGCUUGCUAUUAGGGUGGCUGUAUUUCAGUAGAUUACAUUGUAAAUUACACCCAGCCAUUAUAUGAUAGAUUUGGUCAUUGUGCCAUAAAUUGUAGCAGAUUUUUAAAAGAACUUGUUGUGAUUGACCACCACAGCAUCUAAUUUAUUCCUAGAAUCAGGUUUCUGUAACAGUCAUCAAAAUGUUGAACAGAGAGAGUUCAUUAGAACAUUUCUCAGAAUAUUCCAGCAAAUCCUUGCCUUUCAAAGGCAGUUGUUCCUUACCUGUGGCUCUUCAAACUAUGCUGACAGAGGAGGGCAGGUCAAAGCUAAGGGAAAUACACACAAUCUGUAAUGAAAACUUUGUAUUAAAAGUGAGAAGGGAUGAUUACAAUGUCCAGCUGUUCCCAUUUUUUGGAGGAAAAGAGGAAGAACUGUGACACACAAUUCUGGUUUUGAGAGAAAAAUGGCAGAAAACCAAGCUUUUGCUCCUGUAGAAAAACCAGACUUGAUUACUGGAGACUCCUAAAAAGAAUCCAAGGCAUGAGCAAGGGCUGAAAGUUGCUCAACUUUUUUGGGAGCCCUCUACAAAUUCCACGAGAGAGUUACCAGAAUUUCUCACACGUGAAGUGUAAAAGGCAAAUACUGAAAUUAUUAAACAAGACAACCAUUUAGCAUGGAAGCUCUGUGGGGGUGAACAGUGGGCAGUCAGACUCCUCAGUCAUGGGCAAGGAGCUGUUAAUAUUUUUCUACAACUGCAGUUUCUAUGGCUGAAGGGGAACAAAAGCCCCUCACCUUCACAGAAAUCCACAAGUUCCUACAACCUCUGACUACCCUCCAAGGAGCUUUUGCCCCGUGACAACAGUGCACCUGGAUUUUUGACAGCCAUGGAGCAUAGCAUGGCAAUUCUAUCCCAAAUCAGAGUCUUUUGGGAUAUCAUUUAUCUGAUGUGCUGGUGUUUGUACUGUGGCUUGUCUUGGCAUCAGAGGACAAAGAAGCUACAGAGGUUCUCUGUUCUCUCAGGAAAGACAAAGCGUGGCUAAAUGUUGGAAGAUGGUGAGAGCACUUUUUUUUCAGAUAAGCAGAACUCAGCUUGGAGCCUGAUGUGCACUUUGACUGUUACUGUUUCGUGUCUGGGCAUACAAGUUAGUCCCAAAGAAGCUCUGGGCAUUAAACUGACAUUUUUAGUCUUUAUGUGGACUUGUGUGCAGACACUGGAACUUCUUUCCAGGGCCACUGUGAGCUGUGAACAUGCCUUUGAGGAGAGUCCUACCAUCCAGGAAUACAGGAAAAUGUGGUGGAGAGACCACAUUCUGCCUUACAAGGAACCCUGCUGGCAAGCCACAGCAUCUGAAAUCAGGAGACCUUUCCAAAAAAAAAAAAAAAAAAAAAAGUAUUUUGCAACUGUCAUGUCUCUGGCCCAUCUGCUUUGCCCAUCGUGAUAAGCAAUUUAUCCAUGAUCUUGCCUUACUGGAAAAAUCUUACCCCUGGAAAAAUCGCUGCUCUUUGCAGAGUGAUCAUCAUCUCUUUCAAGUUUCAGCAUGAAGUGCAAGGCUGUAAGCAGCAGUAUUGGGUACUCUGACUCAUUCCCUUGGAAGGCUAUUUUUAUGAUUGUUCAUGGAACUAUAUCUUAAAGCUCUCAGUUCACGUUCUUAAAUCACUUUCACAGCUUUCUGCUGAGCCGUCUCAGCGCAAUGGUUCUUCCCUCUGAGGUCACAACCUCUGCGAGGCUCUCGGGACUGUGACUGUGCUCCCUCACUGCAGCCUGCGAACCCAAACUAUUGGCUGAGGACCUCCUUCCUUUUCCUCACCUCGAGACCUGGGAAGGGAUUCACACGGUCCAGCAAGACAGAGUCCAAAUUCUACCUGCACUUCAUUGUCCUCAGAGAAAGGUUUGACACGGGUUGUUGAUGUCCCUGAUAACUCUGCCAGUCUCCGGAUCAGUCUCUUGGAGGUCCCCUGGAAAAGCACUGAAACUCAAUGUCUGAUGUUAAACAGGAAGAAUCUACAUCCUUUCCUCACAGCCCAGGGUCAUGUUUCUCUGGCUGAUCUCUGCACACAACUCUGCCUUCUCCUCAGAGCUGAUUUGCCACAGAUUUUUGUUGUCCUUGUUUAUGUCCACCUUGGAUGGCUCAAACUGCCCUAAGCAGCCAGAUUUUCUCAUCCACGAGCCUGAUAACAGGUUUUUAUUUAACUGUGGUUCAACCAAAGCAGGCAGACUCAAAGUCUAAGCCAUUACAAUGGCUCCCAAAACCAGGGGCUUGAGGGGCCCUGGAAAAGGCUGAUCCCUUGCAGAGGGUAUGGAGUCCAUCCCUACUGAAAUCAGCCCCAAGAGUAAUUGUGUGGUGUGAUGUGAACUGUUUUUCCUGCACUUGUCUGGUGACUGUGUUUAAAGUCCCCUGGGAACAAACAGAUCAGAGAUUUUACGGCUGCACAGAGCUUGUGGCUGAACAUUAAUGGCUGCAUUGGCAAACAGAUGGAAGCUGGUCUUUCUUCCUCUUUCCUAAAGAUGUACAAUCUUUUCUUUUGACAUUUUGACAGAUCAGCAGAUUCUCAUUCCAUGUUACGUUCCAGAUAUGCAACUGAGAGAUAAUUAAUGUCUGUGAAAGUGAAAAUAUUGCACCUUUAUUCCAUAUAAAAGUCUUUACUGUGUCACAUCUUGUAGGGUAACAUCCAGAACAGGGAAACAGUGGCUCCAUUCAAGUCUAUUACAAAACUCCCAGGGAUAAAAGUGUUCAUAAAGCUGUAAGCACACCUUACUAUUUUUUGUAACUUUAAUUAAUGAAAUGCUCUCAGGAUAAGUCAGUGAGAGCAAAAUCUCAACUUAUGCCUGCAUCUGAUCAAAAGUCUCCAUUUUGGUGAUACAGAUGUGAGUGUUUUUCAAAUAUCACAUAGCAGAAACAGCCUGUUCCUUUCUCAGUGUAGGCUCCCAUUUUAUUUCUCAACAACUUGAAAACCAUUAUGGAAGCAGAUCUUUAUUUACUUGUGGUUGUUUGGGGUUUUUUUCCCCCUUAUAUUAGGUUUUGGACAUAAUACUCAUUUCCUUUUUCCCUUUCGUGCAUCCCCAAAGUGAGUUCCACCUUACAGAUUUCACUUUCAGUAAGGACUGAAUCCCUUGCUAACAGAUUGACCAUAAUGCUUUAAGUUCGUUGGUUUCUGCUGCUCUUCAGUGCUUUUGCUAAGUUCAGCAAGAGGGGUUAGGAGAUGGCAAAUUCGGUCCAGAUGCGAGGAAAUGGCUUUGCGGGCUUUACCCGCCUUGCCGAAGCAGCUCGCACGUUCGGAAACGCGACUUUAAGAACGCAGCGCGGUUCCCCCGGGGGUUGUGCAAACUCGGUUUAAGUCCUUUCACUGCAGGCGCUGAAGAAGUUGGGAAAAGGCCGGAGCAGCCGCAGGU